CAUUUACAGCAACAACGCCACCAGCUAUCGGCCCAUCAUGUUAUUCUUGUAUAAACACCAAGUUGAACGGAGCAUGUUUUACAACAUCGCAGUGUUAUGCCGGCGAGGUUUGUGCUGUGUUUGAUACAAACAAUGGGUUCAUUCACAGAUGCAUGGGUAAACAGUUAUGUGACUCUAAUAUGAAGAGCUCAAAUGGCUGCUGGAAUUGUUGCACCGGAAACCGAUGUAACAAACAGUGUACUUCUGUCGCAACAUGUACAGACACACCCCAAUGUGCUCGUCUCCGCCUCAUAGGUUACAGUGUAUGCAGUGACCCUGUUGUGUCGGUAUUAAGUUGUUCAAAAACAUGUUACAAAUGUGCAUCAAGCGGGUAGCUUCCUGGCUUUUUACACAAUUACUGUCUCACUUAAUGUUUUUUAAAUGUUGCUUAAAUUUGUUUCAAAAAUGUUUUAAGAAAUUAGAA